rnacentral:rRNA from 1 species
UACGGAGGAUCCAAGCGUUAUCCGGAAUUACUGGGCGUAAAGAGUUGCGUAGGUGGCAGAGUAAGCAGAUAGUGAAAGCGUGUGGCUCAACCAUACUUACAUUAUCUGAACUGCUCAGCUAGAAGAUGAGAGAGGUUAUUGGAAUUCCCAGUGUAGGAGUGAAAUCCGUAGAUAUUGGGAGGAACACCGAUGGCGUAGGCAGAUAACUGGCUCAUUCUUGACACUAAGGCACGAAAGCGUGGGGAGCAAACGGG